UAGGGAAUCUUCGGCAAUGGGGGCAACCCUGACCGAGCAACGCCGCGUGAGUGAAGAAGGUUUUCGGAUCGUAAAGCUCUGUUGUAAGUCAAGAACGAGUGUGAGAGUGGAAAGUUCACACUGUGACGGUAACUUACCAGAAAGGGACGGCUAACUACGUGCCAGCAGCCGCGGUAAUACGUAGGUCCCGAGCGUUAUCCGGAUUUAUUGGGCGUAAAGCGAGCGCAGGCGGUUUGAUAAGUCUGAAGUUAAAGGCUGUGGCUUAACCAUAGUACGCUUUGGAAACUGUUUAACUUGAGUGCAGAAGGGGAGAGUGGAAUUCCAUGUGUAGCGGUGAAGUGCGUAGAUAUAUGGGGGAACACCGGUGGCGAAAGCGGCUCUCUGGCUUGUAACUGACGCUGAGGCUCGAAAGCGUGGGGAGCAAACAGGAUUAGAUACCCUGGUAGUCCACGCCGUAAACGAUGAGUGCUAGGUGUUAGACCCUUUCCGGGGUUUAGUGCCGCAGCUAACGCAUUAAGCACUCCGCCUGGGGAGUACGACCGCAAGGUU
rnacentral:rRNA from 1 species